rnacentral:rRNA from 1 species
UACAGAGACCCCAAGCGUUAUCCGGAGUUACUGGGCGUAAAGCGCAAGUAGUCGGUUUUUGUAGUCUGAUGUUAAAUCUCAUGGCCCAACUGUGAGGCUGCAUCAGAAACGCAAGAACUAGAGCAUGUCAGAGGCAAGCGGAACGUGCGGUGUAGCGGUGAAAUGCAUUGAUAUCGCACGGAACACCAAAAGCGAAGGCAGCUUGCUGGGGCAUUGCUGACGAUCAGUUGCGAAAGCGUGGGGAU